GUUUUUGAAGCUUUACAGAAACAGAGUGCUCGCUUCAGCAGACACAAGAAGAUUAGCAUGGUCCCAGCACAAGGAUGGCAUGCAAAUUGGUGAGGCGUCCCAUCUUUUU